AAAGAAAACAAAAUGCGCACAAUCCUAUGUCACAAGACCAAUAUCUAAUAUCAGAUUUAGUAUGAAAGAAAAAGAGGAAGUACACAUCCCAGCUGCGGUUUGUUCUUCUUCUUCAGAACAAUUCUCUUCAUCAAGCGACCAACCCAACAUAUUAGUACAUCCCACCUCUAUACCACUCAUUAACAUUUGUCAUCCAAGCAGUUCGACCAUCAUGUCUCAGACUCAAUCUGUUCCAUCUUCAGCAGAAGGAGUUUUACUGCCAGCACCAUCCUGCAGUAGUUUAACCUCUAUAGCAUUAAACUCAGGAGAAUAUCACGAACCAAUACAAGUUAU